AGUGAACGCUGGCGGCAGGCCUAACACAUGCAAGUCGAACGGCAGCACCGUGCUUGCUUGCGCUUACAGGGGCCGAGGGGCGGACGGUUCCUGAAUACAUGGCAGGCUGCGGCUUCUUGCGUGCUAAAACCGGCGAUAUUACGGCAAACCCCCUUACGGCGUACGUGGGGGAGCUGGGGAUCUUACGACAUCAUGCGAUUGUAGGUGGCAUUAGCUAGUUGGUGGGGUAAAGGCCUACCAAGGCGACGAUCCGUAACUGGUCUGAGAGGAUGAUCAGUCACACUGGAACUGAGACACGGUCCAGACUCCUACGGGAGGCAGCAGUGGGGAAUAUUGGACAAAGGGCGAAAGCCUGAUCCAGCCAUGCCGCGUGUGUGAAGAAGGUCUUCGGGUUGUAAAGCCCUUUUGGUGGGAAGGAAGGGCAGCAAGUUAAUACCUCGCUGUUUUGACGGUACCAACAGAAUAAGCACCGGCUAACUUCGUG
rnacentral:rRNA from 1 species